rnacentral:lncRNA from 1 species
AUGCCACAUCCAAGAACCACACCACACACAAAUAGUCCCGCAAAUGGCAGAGGAAUGGCAUCAAGAAAUCCUGGUCAUACAGGUCUCUUAAGAAGGUUGACUCCAAGCUCCUGAGAAGAAUGCGCUUUGCCAAGAAGCUCAGCAAGGAAGGCUAGACGAAGAUGCAGGCCAACAAUGCAGACAGUGAGUGCAUGCGCAGAGGCCAUCAAGGCCCGUGUGAAGCCUAAGUCGGUUAAACCCGAGAUGCCAAAGGGCUCUCCAGCUGCAAACUGAGCCAUCUUGCUUCCAUCGCUCACCAGAAAAUUGGGAAGUGGAUUCAGAGUUACGUGGCCAAGGAUCAUAGACUCUGCCAAUCAAAGCCCAAAGCUCAAACCAAGGCAGAGGCUGCAGCUCCAGCUGAGGCCCAGGCUUCAGCUCUAGCUCAGGCUCCCAAAGGUGCCCAGGCCUCUAUGAAGCAGCUUCUGCCAGUGUGA